rnacentral:hammerhead_ribozyme from 1 species
AUCCAGCUGACGAGUUUCAAAUAGGACGAAACGCGCGUCAAACUGGAU